rnacentral:rRNA from 1 species
AUUGAACGCUGGCGGCAGGCCUAACACAUGCAAGUCGAGCGAGAGGCGGACGGGUGAGUAAUGUAUGGGGAACUGCCUGAUAGAGGGGGAUAACUAGUGGAAACGGUGGAUAAUACCGCAUACGAUCGGAUGAACCCAUAUGGGAUUAGCUAGUAGGUGGGGUAAAGGCUCACCUAGGCGACGAUGCCUAGCAGGUCUGAGAGGAUGAUCGGCCACACUGGGACUGAGACACGGCCCAGACUCCUACGGGAGGCAGCAGUGGGGAAUAUUGCACAAUGGGCGCAAGCCUGAUGCAGCCACGCCGCGUGUAUGAAGAAGGCCUUAGGGUUGUAAAGUACUUUCAUCGGGGAGGCGUUACCCGCACAGGAAGCACCGGCUAACUCCGUGCCAGCCGCCGCGGUAAUUC